CGCCUCACGCCCUGCGACUCGUCACUUGCUCCUGCAGUCCUGCCGGCUGCCGCCCUCUCCUCCCACCCCGCACCUGCCAUUGAUGAUGACCCUGACAGACGAUCUCGAUCUGACCUGCGAGGCUGCGAUGGACACCGAAGGUGGCGGUGGCAACCCCAAUCGCGCCACGGCCGUGCCAGUGGUCAUCGUCUCAGAUCCGACUGCGGCUGGUGUCAAAAUCAUCCAUUCGUGGGUAAGGCGAACUCAUCCAUUCGUCAGUACUAACCAGUAUAACCUCCGUUGGCCACCAUGAUCAGCGUACGAGGAGCACCUUCAGGUAAGUUUCAGAUCCCCUAGUAUUUUGGUGGUGGCGACGUCUCCUGGUGGCACACGCCUCCUAGGAACGCCCUAAGCCAUCGGCCCACAUGGUUUGCUUGCUUUUCUAGAUCUCGCUUAUUUAAUUGGUCUAUUAUCACUAUUUGCUGCCGCAAGAUUUGAAGCUGAAACGAUUCAGUUCGCCAUUAUAUAUCCAGGCAAAUUCAGGACUGUCGCUACUAGUGCUGCACAUGGGGAUGGGACACUAGUAUGAUUUUAGAUUCAUACAUUUUCUUUGGAUACAGAUGGUUAUUUCAUUCAUAUAUUUGCGUUGGGAUUCCAUCAAGUUGUCGUGCAUGCUUACAGUUUUGGGCUUAUUGAUUUUUUCUUCACAGAUAUUAGACCAAUGAGGUAUGUUCCCAAAUUCCCAAAAGGAGCAAUGAGGUAUAUCUUAAGUACUGAUUAUUCACAUGUGCUUGAAUUUAUCUCUUACCCAGUAUACUCAAAUUGUACAACUUACAUUAUCGAGCCUUUCAAUUUCUCGUAACCGUGUAAAAUUGUACUGUUGUUAGAGUAACCAGUUUCUGAAAACAACUUGACAUCAAUUGUGGUAACUACAUAUUGUAAUUAUCAUCCCGAGUCAUCUGAAUUCUCGCAAUUUUUUAGUAGAUUUGACUCUUCACUGUAGUAACUACUCUUUGUCAAAAAUGUUUGAUUCAAAAUUUCAGAACUAUUUUAGAGUACAAUUUUAUGAAUUAUCAUACAAAAUUCAUGGUAAAUUUGACUCCCUGUUAUAGUAGUUGGCCCUGUUAGAAACCACUAGAUGCAAAAUUGUGGUAACUCCACAUCCUAAAUACUAUAUCAUGCUAUUUAUAUUACUAUUUCAUGAUAAAAUCUUGUAAUUUGUAACUAGUAUCAUUAUAGUAAUUUGUUUCUUAGAAUAAUUUCAUGCUAAUUUAUGGUAAUUGUCACUGCUAAGUGUCAUAUUAAGCCAUUCAAGUUAUCAAAAAUAUUUCCUACUCCAGUGACCAGUUACUAUAACAAUAUAAUUAGUUAUGGUAAUUCUCCCUCCAAAUGCCUACAAAAAAUAUUUACUUAGUGCCAGUUAACUAAUGAUAGGUUUUCUUGGAGUAGAUAGUUUUUCAUACAUAUGUUUAACAAGAAGUCUUUGUAAAUUUCUUAUAUCAUUUACGGAUGUUCCUUUCAUGGUGAUUUUUUUUGGAGAUGGGAUCUCCUUCGUCAAUUGCAAUGGAGAAGAUCUCAACUCUAGUGAGGGUGUAGUGAGGAUGCAUGCACGUUGCAGGAAAUGUGCCUCGAUCAGUUCAGAUUGUCUCAGCUGCUCUUCCACAUAUCGGCAAGGUCAUUGGCAGUUGGAUCAGGGCGGCGGCGGAUCCUCGCUGGUGUGCAUUAUGUGGAUUCUCCAACCCCGCCGGUUGCAGUGGCGCCCUUUCCCCGACCGAUGGUGGCUUCCAUGAUCCGUGUACGACGAGCACCUUCAGUGAUCAACUACAGGAAUCUUGGUGCUCGAUUUCUAUCCUCACCAAUUGCUUGUUCUGCGUCUAUCAUGAUCCUGUAUACAUUCCUGAUCUGAUUGACUGAUGCCAAACGACGUCAAUUCAUCAGCAAUGGCUGCCACUUGCUGGGCGUGAUUUUCUAUUGCCGUGACCGUGACUUGUCCAACAAAAUGCAGAUUGCUAACAAGCCUUCAACUGGUAAUGAGACUUCUCGAUAGCAGCUUGUUACAUUACAGAGCAGGAAACAGACAUGACCUGAUCUCAAACUGAUCAAUAGUCAAGCACUAGGAUGCACAUAUUGGAGUAGUGUCAGUGUGCUACAGUGCUAGAUUGAGAAUGUGCAAGAAAAACAAUUAAAUUUAGAUCCUGCAAUGUUGAGUAACCUUUUGUGGAUGACAUAUGUUGUUUUACAAUGUCUACCAAUCGAUGUUGUAUUUUACGUACUGUAUCAAUCUUUGUAAAUAUUUUUUAUUGUAGAUUAUCGUAAAUAUUCGUUAAUGCAAAAUCUCGUAAAUAUUU